UACAGAGGUCUCAAGCGUUGUUCGGAUUCAUUGGGCGUAAAGGGUGCGUAGGCGGCGCGGUAAGUCGGGUGUGAAAUCUCGGAGCUUAGCUCCGAAACUGCAUUCGAUACUGCGGUGCUUGAGGACUGGAGAGGAGACUGGAAUUCAUGGUGUAGCAGUGAAAUGCGUAGAGAUCAUGAGGAAGACCAGUGGCGAAGGCGGGUCUCUGGACAGUUCCUGACACUGAGACACGAAGGCCAGGGGAGCAAACGGG
rnacentral:rRNA from 1 species